rnacentral:rRNA from 1 species
AUUGAACGCUGGCGGCAGGCCUAACACAUGCAAGUCGAGCGGAUGAAGGGAGCUUGCUCCUGGAUUCAGCGGCGGACGGGUGAGUAAUGCCUAGGAAUCUGCCUGGUAGUGGGGGAUAACGUCCGGAAACGGGCGCUAAUACCGCAUACGUCCUGAGGGAGAAAGUGGGGGAUCUUCGGACCUCACGCUAUCAGAUGAGCCUAGGUCGGAUUAGCUAGUUGGUGGGGUAACGGCCUACCAAGGCGACGAUCCGUAACUGGCCUGAGAGGAUGAUCAGUCACACUGGAACUGAGACACGGUCCAGACUCCUACGGGAGGCAGCAGUGGGGAAUAUUGGACAAUGGGCGAAAGCCUGAUCCAGCCAUGCCGCGUGUGUGAAGAAGGUCUUCGGAUUGUAAAGCACUUUAAGUUGGGAGGAAGGGCAGUAAGUUAAUACCUUGCUGUUUUGACGGUACCAACGGAAUAAGCACCGGCCAACUUCGUG